AGAUCAUAAUCCUUUGUAAGGAGAAUUGACAUAUGGUAUGGACCAAUGAGCUUAAGGCCAGCCCCUGCCCAUAUAAGGGAGCUGCCAGCCAAUCCUUGCUCUCUUGGGUUCCGGACUAGUGGAGGGUGAGAAGUGAUUUGUGCAACUUACAAAGACAAGCUUAGGCCUGAAGCCUGCCAGCCUCGGCCUGAAUCUAACCGGGGACGUCACUCGUCAUCAGAGAGAGCCAGCGUUGCUGUCGCGCACCACCACUACCGCCGCCGCUGGCAUGAAUAGGGUUUUGGUAGCUAAGGCUAAUGAACAAGUGUAAACAGGGACAUUUGCUGAUAUGUGGAGAUUGGAAUGCAGUCCUGGACCCCACAGUGGAUUCCUCAUCCACAAGCAGACAUUCCCCGGUAUCUCUCUCCAACCUCUUUCCUAGGGAGGACAUCACUGUGUGUGUGGUG